CAAUCUUUUGCAUUGAUGUUUAGUGGAGUGUUGAUGGAGGCUAAUCUCUUUGCACUUCCUCUACAGGCAAUGGAAAGAAAGGGGCUCCUUCAGAGGUAUGAUUUAGAGUGUCUAAAGUUAAGCUCCUGCCCUAAAUCACCCCCCAAAACUCCCUAUCACGGGCGUACCUCUCCAUUGAAUUUCCAGGCUUGGGAGUUGGCAUGACAACUGCAAGCAAGUAGUCGAGUCAGGCACCAGCUGAGAGCAUGAAGUGGAAAGAAACCAACAGAAACACAUAAAAAACCAGAAAUACAAAGAAGUGCUAGCAAAAGAAAUGAAAUGAUAACGUGUGGACAUCACCGAGCUUUAGAGGUGUGGGCACAAGCACAAACAGUGAGCAACUAUGGCCCUGCAUAGCAGUAGGCAGAGUAUCAUAUAGCUGAGGUGGUGACUAGCUGUUUCUCCAGCAAAUAAAAAGAUUGUGCUACUCUAGGCAAAAGUCCAGCUCUGUUGUGUGCCAACAGAAAUAGCUGAUCAAGCUGCACCAGAGCAGUUUUACAGUGAACUGAAAGUGGCGGUACAUAAAGAACAUAUUAAUCUUCU
ensembl:lncRNA